GCCGGGCAUGGUGCCGCACCCCUGUAAUCCCAGUGGCUCGGGAGGCUGAGGCAGGGGGAUCAUGAGUUCAAAGCCAGCCUCAGCAACAGCAAGGUGCUAAGCAACUCAGUGAGACCCUGUCUCUU
rnacentral:sRNA from 1 species